AUACGGAAGGUCCGGGCGUUAUCCGGAUUUAUUGGGUUUAAAGGGAGCGUAGGCCGUCUUAUAAGCGUGUUGUGAAAUGUCGGGGCUCAACCUGGGCAUUGCAGCGCGAACUGUGAGACUUGAGUGCGCAGGAAGUAGGCGGAAUUCGUCGUGUAGCGGUGAAAUGCUUAGAUAUGACGAAGAACUCCGAUUGCGAAGGCAGCCUGCUGUAGCGCAACCGACGCUGAAGCUCGAAAGCGUGGGUAUCGAACAGGAUUAGAUACCCUGGUAGUCCACGCGGUAAACGAUGGAUGCUCGCUGUUUGCGUCUGACGUAAGCGGCCAAGCGAAAGCGUUAAGCAUCCCACCUGGGGAGUACGCCGGCAACGGUGAAACUCAAAGGAAUUGACGGGGCCCGCACAAGCGGAGGAACAUGUGGUUUAAUUCGAUGAUACGCGAGGAACCUUACCCGGGCUUGAACUGCAGGCGAACGAUUCAGAGAUGAUGAGGCCCUUCGGGGCGCCUGUGG
rnacentral:rRNA from 1 species